AGAUGCCUGGCAGCAUCCGUGCCCGGUAGCUACCCUGACCUCCUCCUCGGCAUGACCACCAGCGCUUUCCCUUCCUCCAGAGAGAUGUUUUGUCCUGCUUGCAGCCACAGACUCCUCCACGGGCGCCAGCUGAGGACAUGCAUCUCUGCUGGAGGUGGCAGCAUGCCCAGUAGCUACCCUGUCCUCCUCCCAGGCACGGAUGCUUUCUGGAUUGUUCAUUCUUACAUCCUUCGUGGACUUGAGGCUUUUCUUCAGAUGCCUGGCAGCAUCCGUGCCCGGUAGCUACCCUGACCUCCUCCUCGGCAUGACCACCAGCGCUUUCCCUUCCUCCAGAGAGAUGUUUUGUCCUGCUUGCAGCCCCAGACUCCUCCACGGGCGCCAGCUGAGGACGUGCAUCUCUGCUGGGGGUGGCAGCAUGCCCAGUAGCUACCCUGUCCUCCUCCCAGGCACGGAUGCCACAGACUCCUCCACUGGCGCCAGCUGAGGACGUGCAUCUCUGCUGGAGGUGGCAGCAUGCCCAGUAGCUACCCUGUCCUCCUCCCAGGCACGGAUGCCACAGACUCCUCCACGGGCAUCAGCUGAGGACGUGCAUCUCUGCUGGGGGUGGCAGCAUGCCCAGUAGCUACCCUGUCCUCCUCCCAGGCACGGAUGGUGAGUUUUUGCCGGCACCGCAGUCUCUUGUCACCUUUGCUUUGCCGUCUCAUUGAAUCCGAUUGCUUUGCUGUUCUGUUGGUGGGCUUUGGUUCUUUGUCGUUCCCUUCAUUGUCUGUUUUUCCAUUGGUCACAUUGGUUUGCUUUCUUUUUUCUACUUGGUUUUGCUUUCUCAACUGCUCCUUUUCCUUUGCUCUGCUUUGUUCAUUUCAUGUUCGUUUGUUUUUUUUUGGUUUGCUUUCCUUUUGUUUGUUCAUUCUGUUCCUUGGCUCUUGGUUUUUGGGCGUUACUUGGCUUUGCCCUACUUUCAAAUUUACUUCUUGACAUUCUCUCUGGUUUACUUGUUUUUUCCUCCAUGCUCUCCCCUUAGAUUUUGUUAGCUUUUAUAUUGUCUCACUGUGUUGCUUUGAAUUUUUUGCUUUGCCAUAUUGUUGCAGUCAACGCCCUUGCUUUUUUUUGGUACUUUUUCCCUUUGUUUACUUUGCUCUUUUUCUUUUCCUUUUGGCUUUUGUUUCCUGCUCCUUUGGCUUUGCUUUCUAGUGCUUAUUUUUCAUUUUGGUUGGUUCUUUUUCUUUCCAGACCAUGCCUUUGCAUUCUGGUAGUAUGCCUUCUCUAUUCUCUUCUUUUUCUUUUGCUUUCAUUACGUUCUUCCUCCUUCCUCGUCCCCAUGGCUGCUUCCUUCCUCUUACCUUGCCUUUACUUACCUGACGUUAGCCUUCUGGAUUGUUCAUUCUUACAUCCUCCCUGUCCUUGCCUCUGUCCUCAAUGUGGACUUGAGGCGUUUCUUCAGAUGCCUGGCAGCAUCCGUGCCCGGUAGCUACCCUGACCUCCUCCUCGGCAUGACCACCAGCGCUUUCCCUUCCUCCAGAGAGAUGUUUUGUCCUGCUUGCAGCCGCAGACUCCUCCACGGGCAUCAGCUGAGGACGUGCAUCUCUGCUGGGGGUGGCAGCAUGCCCAGUAGCUACCCUGUCCUCCUCCCAGGCACGGAUGGAACACUUGACCACAACCCAGAGCAGGAUCAAGCUGAGCUCGUCUGCUGCCGGGGCUACUCUGAGGCACAGGGUAUGGCGAGCAGCUGCAGGCAGCGCAGCUCACACUGGAGGUGCCUGGACCCAGCUGCCGGCUGUACUUGGGCAGGGCCCUCUGUCCUCAUGGAAACGCACUGUGACAGCAUAAAGGUUCCCGGAACCCGGCUGAUGUCAUCUGCGCUGUGAUGCUCUGUGCUCUGCCUGGCCUGAAGCCGAUGCCUCCAGGAUGUUGUUCAAUGAUGUCUUAGUGUUUUUUGUGUGUUCUUUUGUGUUUGCUUUUUGUUUUUUCUUGUUUUUUGUUUGUCAGUUGUCAUCUCUGUUUUGCCAUGACGUUAAAUCCUAUUUCGUUGGUGUUC